rnacentral:lncRNA from 1 species
CGGUAUUCUUAAGUAUGAAUAUAUCUGACUGAUUUUGCUGUUUCAUUACAUUAAAUAUUCUAUCAAGAUGCAUGUACAGAGUAUCUGUUCAGCAGUAUGAGCAACUGUGGGAAUUUCAUGCUUGUAGCAAAACAUGCAUUGAUUUUUUUGUAACAGAAUAUAUAAAGAUUAAAUUUCCUUUGUUCGACAUGGUUAGACCAGCGACGGACCUACAGGCUUUCGAGGCCUGGGACGGAAGUCUCCCUGGGCCACCCCUAAUUGGAAUGAUCAUCAUAGAAAAUGUCAACAGAAAUAUAUAAUUAACAUUUAUUUAAUCAAAAUUAAAUAGUUAAAAUGAGUUCUUCGGAAGUCCCCUGAUCAGAG